GACGAACGCUGGCGGCGUGCCUAAUACAUGCAAGUCGAGCGAAUCAAUAGGAGCUUGCUCCUGAUGGUUAGCGGCGGACGGGUGAGUAACACGUGGGCAACCUGCCUGUAAGACUGGGAUAACACCGGGAAACCGGUGCUAAUACCGGAUAAUCCUUUUCCUCUCAUGAGGAAAAGCUGAAAGUCGGUUUCGGCUGACACUUACAGAUGGGCCCGCGGCGCAUUAGCUAGUUGGUGAGGUAACGGCUCACCAAGGCGGCGAUGCGUAGCCGACCUGAGAGGGGGAUCGGCCACAUUGGGACUGAGACACGGACCAGACUCCUACGGGAGGCAGCAGUAGGGAAUCUUGCGCAAUGGACGAAAGUCUGAUGGAGCAACGCCGCGUGAGCGAUGAAGGCCUUCGGGUCGUAAAGCUCUGUUGUUAGGGAAGAACAAGUACCGGAGUAACUGCCGGUACCUUGACGGUACCUAACCAGAAAGCCACGGCUAACUACGUGCCAGCCGCCGCCGUAA
rnacentral:rRNA from 1 species